UGGAGAGGUUGUCACUUCUGUGAUUAGGUUACAAAAUAUUGUGACUUCAUCCUGCUAGUGGACUCUCUCUCUCUUGCCGGCUUUGACAAUGCAAGCUUUCAUGUUGGAGAGGCCCACAUUGCAAGGAACCUAGCAUGGCCUCCAGCCAACAGCAAAGAACGGAGGUCCACAUUCCAACAGCCCUUGAGGAACUGGAUCUUCCCAAAAAACUAUGAAACUGAGCUUGGAAGCAGAUCUGAUCCCCAUUGAAUCUUCAGAUUAGACCCCAACCCCUGGAUGAUACUUUGAUUGCAGCCUCAUGAGAGACCAUGAUCAGGGGACCCAGCUAACCUCUGCCCAGAUUCCUGAACCACAGAAACAGAG
rnacentral:lncRNA from 10 species